rnacentral:lncRNA from 1 species
ACAGAUUUAACAAAGCCGACAAGUUGAAGACACUUUUAAGAACGUCGUUUCUAUUAUCAUCAACUUCGAGUACAUACAACUGUAAGAGGAUACA